UACGGGGGGGGGCAAGCGUUGUUCGGAAUUACUGGGCGUAAAGGGCGCGUAGGCGGCCUGCUAAGUCGGACGUGAAAUCCCCUCGGCUCAACCGGGGAACUGCGUCCGAUACUGGUGGGCUCGAAUCCGGGAGAGGGAUGUGGAAUUCCAGGUGUAGCGGUGAAAUGCGUAGAUAUCUGGAGGAACACCGGUGGCGAAGGCGGCAUCCUGGACCGGUAUUGACGCUGAUGCGCGAAAGCCAGGGGGGGCAAACGGGG
rnacentral:rRNA from 1 species